rnacentral:tRNA from 1 species
GCUCGUGAAGCUGACCUGGUGGUAGCGCCGCCCUGAAGACGCGGGGGGGUUGGUUCGAUUCCAACCGCGAGCA